rnacentral:rRNA from 1 species
AAUAUUGCACAAUGGAGGAAACUCUGAUGCAGCGACGCCGCGUGAGUGGAGAAGGUCUNCGUAUCNUNAUACUCUGUCCUCGGCGNCGAUAAUGACGGUAGCCAAGGAGGAAGCCCCGGCUAACUACGUGUCAGCAGCCGCGGUAAUACGUAGGGGGCUAGCGUUGUCCGGAUUUACUGGGCGUAAAGGGUGAGUAGGCGGUUACAUAUGUCAGAUGUAAAAGGCUAAGGCUUAACCAUAGUAUGCAUUUGAAACUGUGUGACUUGAGUACAGGAGAGGUAAGCGGAAUUCCUAGUGUAGCGGUGAAAUGCGUAGAUAUUAGGAGGAACACCAGUGGUGAAGGCGGCUUACUGGACUGUAACUGACGCUGAGUCACGAAAGCGUGGGUAGCAAACAGG